ensembl:lncRNA
CUCAUUUUACAGAUGAGGAAACUGAGGCAAUUAGGGUCAAGUGACUUGUCCAGGAUUAUACAGCUGCUAUCUAAGGACAAAUCUGAACUCAGAUCUUCCUGAUAUCAGGACCUUCCUCUCUCCACUGCAUCACUUCAAUCCUAAUAUCCUGUAAUAAAUGCAUACGGCAGGGAGACGAGGAUUGUCACUGCAUUCAAGGACAGGAAUUGACUGGCAGCCUUGUUGCUAGGAAAACAGAAGAACCAUGGAGUACAUUUUCUUGCAAGAAUUCUGCAUAACUUGUCAAUGCAUAAGACACAGAUGCCCUGAGGCUUCCUUUUCUCAUUCUUUUCCAUUUCUUCCUCCAUGCUCUAGUUCUAAAUGAAUAUGUAUAUUUGGUGCCAGAGAACUGGAAUCACCUAUAUUCCCCCUAAGACAGGAAUGGUAAGGAAGGUGUCCCAUUGGUAUCUUUUGUUCCCAUGGGGCUUUUGAAAGAAAGUGUUGCAAGACAAGGGAAGUAUUCCAUCUUGCAGCUUGAGAAGAAUGAAGCCUAGAUGGGGGAUGGGAUAGGGAUGGUUCUUCACUUGAAUUUUGAGAAUGUCUCUUAACCACAGCACAAUUAAAGAGCUAGAAGAUGACCAAGAGCAAACUAUUUUAGUCAUCUUGGCCUCAGUUUCUUAGUCUGUAAAUUGAAGGGGUUAGAUUAAAUGAUGUCGAGGGUCACUUCUAGCUCUGUAUCUAUGAACCUAUAAUUCCAGGGUUCUUUUCUGGGCUACAAAAUAGAUAUUUUAGAGAACUGGGGGCUGGGGGAGGGUAGCCAAAGAAAAACGUGGUCUUUGGUACUUUCCCCAGGCACAUGGAAAGUCUGAGAGAGGCAGUGGCUGAGAGAGGAUGUCAUGAAUCACUGAGCACAUGUGUUCUACAUGGGGACCAUUUCCAUUUCUGAAUAAAUGAUGUGAUAAUCUGAGAGAAAAUGUGCAGGAUAGAUUUUCAUAAACCAAACCCUAAAAGCUCAGUGAGAUCCCAGAACUCUUUUACAGGAGGCCAGAGAGACUUUCAGCACUUUGAAUGUUUGCAUCUGAAAGCUGCUGAGGGGUGUGGGACAAGAACUUUUUGCCCAAGCACAGUGGGAAAGACAAAAGAAAGAAGAAGGAAUUCCUGCUCUCUAAGAGCUUGCUCUCUUAUGGAGGAAGCAAAAAACAGACCUUCAAAGCUGAAAAUGAGAACAGAAAGUACCAGAAGCCAGAAAGUUUCCUCAUCAAUCUUGGCAGCUGCAGGCAGCCAGGGCUGCUGCAUGGAGGCUUGUUCCUCAAGGGCCGGUUGUGAUUCGUCAUUGUCAGCUUCUGUUGGGGGUCUGGGAAGAAAACUUGGCUAUGAGAUGUUGGCAGCAGGAAGGCAAGAAGGAGCACCACUUGUGCCCAAGCCGGGGAAGCCCGUCCUCUUUUUCCAUGGAGACUUUUUGUCUUUGCCUUGGGCCCUCAGCUGAUUGUCUUGUAGGGGCAGGUUGGGUAGAGAUCCCAGGCAUGCCCAACACCUUCAAUAAAUAGUCAGGAUUGCAUCUUAGCCUGGAGCUU